GGUGACAGCCACAUCUGAGGACCAGAGCCAUGUUGAGGAGCCAGAGCCUGUGACUUCUCCAUCUACACCCAGCUGGGGCCAGUCACCAUCCUCAGCAGCUGACAUCACAAGAAGGACUUGGGGACCUUGAGGAGUGCUCAAGGGAUCCUUGGGACAGAAUGCUGAGGGCCCUCCUGUCUGGCCUAGGGUGGAGGGGAGGCAUUUGGGGCUGCACCUUCACCUCAUGGCGGCCUCAUCUGCCUCUGGCUAGGUUGUUGAAUGUCACAGAGCUGGUCAACCACUGGACAGCAGUCUUUGAGAAAAGGGGUAUCCCUGAGGCCCGGGAAUCCAGUGAGUACAUCGUGGCUCAUGUCCUUGGAGCCAAAACAUUUCAGAGCCUGAGGCCAGAACUUUGGACCCAGCCCCUGACACCUUGGCAGCUACAGUAUAUCCAGGAGCUGAGUAGCUACCGAUUGCAAAGGAUGCCUGUGCAGUACAUCCUUGGUGAGUGGGACUUUCAGGGGCUCAGUCUGAAGAUGGUGCCCCCAGUAUUCAUCCCUCGGCCGGAAACAGAGGAACUGGUUGAAUGGGUGCUGGAAGAGGUGACCCAAAGAUCCCGUGUGGUGAGAGCCCAAGGUGGCCCCCUCAUCCUGGAGGUGGGCUGUGGAUCAGGAGCCAUCUCCCUCAGCCUGCUGAGCAAGCUCCCCCAGAGCCAAGUCAUUGCUGUGGACAAGGGAGAAGCUGCCAUCUGCCUGGCCAAUGAGAAUGCUCACAGGCUUCAGUUGCAGGACAGGAUUCGGAUCAUCCCCCUCGAUGUGACCUUAGAGGACAGCUGGGCACAUCUUCUACCCUGGGGCCCCGUGGACCUGAUCGUCAGCAACCCUCCCUAUGUCUUCCACCGGGACAUGGAGCAGCUGGCCCCUGAGAUCCUCAGCUAUGAAGACCCAGUAGCCCUGGAUGGUGGCGAGGAGGGCAUGGACAUCAUUUCCCACAUCCUGGCCCUGGCACCUCGACUCCUGAAGGACUCUGGAAGCAUCUUCUUAGAAGUGGACCCAAGACACCCAGAGCUCGUUGGCAGCUGGCUUCAGAGCCGGCCAGACCUGUUCCUCGAUCUCGUGACUGUGCGCCGGGAUUUCUGUGGGAGGCCCCGGUUCCUGCAUAUCCAGAGGUCUAGGCCACAGCGUGGUUGCCCUGCAGAUGCCUGGCCAGUGCCCCAGCCUCCCAGAGUGGCUGGCUGACACUUCUACCUGGAAUGCUACUUUAAGGGAGGGCCUGACCUGGUGGUGCAGUGGCCAGAGGCAGUGUGGUCCAGUGGGCAGCAUCCUCUGAUGGAGCCAGGAUGCUGGUUUCCAGGGCUGUGUUUUACAGUGGGACCUUGGCAGCUCCCUUCCCUGUGAGAGGUUGGCUCCAAGCCUGGGCCACUCCUCAACCAGUGAUGGCUUCCCUGAUGGUCUAACCCUCCUGGCCUCAGGCUCAUUACUGAGGAAGAACCUUGGCAAGCAUGAACUGGGAAGGUGCUGAGAUUUCACCCAACCUGCAAGCUAACAAGUUGUCAUACUGCUGAGGAUGCUGGCAGAAGACACAAGACUCCUGCUUUAGGAACAAAGGUACCUUCCUGGGCAGGAAACAGACCCAGAAGAACUGGAGCAGCAGCUCUCAAAGUAGCAUGUCCUCCCCACCAGCCCAGUACCCGCACUCAUGCAGGGCCUAUGCCCCAGCGAGACCAGCUCUGUGCAGGCAGGGCUCUGCCCUGCGAGGGGGUGAGCGGCCAGCUCUGUUGGGCUCUAAUGCCUUGGCUCCAUUUUCUUGUCCAUUUGCCCAAUCUCCCAAAACAAGGUUGGGGGCAGAAGAGAGUGGACACUUUCACAGGGGGUGGGGCAGCGCCAGGACAUCCAGGACUGCCUUGGGUCCAGCAACACAUCUCAGAAUGGGGCUCUCCACCAGGAGGAGCUGGAGAAGCUGGGGCAGGGCUGGGGUCUCUGGAGCACUCAGGGCUCAGGGCAGAGAGGUAUGGUUGGCUCACGCUGAGAUCAACCCAAGGAGAAUAAAUAAAUAAAUACUGUA